GAGUUUGUUUUAUGUUAUUCACGUAUAUCCUCAUUUCCCCAUCAAAUCUGGUUUAGGAGAAUGAAAGAUUUGAUUACCAAAAAACACUUGAAUAUCGAAAAUCGAAAAAUUAAAAAUCGCAUCGGAGGAUUACAGAUUAAUCGAAUCUGUAAUUAAUCGAAAAUCGAAAAUCGUCUUUAUAGAUCAUAGGGUGGAGUCAGAGGGUGGGGGUGUCAUUCAGGGAGGAGGAAAAG
rnacentral:lncRNA from 1 species